AUUGAACGCUGGCGGCAUGCUUUACACAUGCCAGUCGAACGGUAACAGGCCUUCGGGUGCUGACGAGUGGCGAACGGGUGAGUAAUGCAUCGGAACGUGCCCAGAGGUGGGGGAUAACGCAGCGAAAGCUGUGCUAAUACCGCAUGUGAUCUGAGGAUGAAAGCGGGGGACCAAGCAGCAAUGUUUGGCCUCGCGCCUCUGGAGCGGCCGAUGUCAGAUUAGGUAGUUGGUGGGGUAAAGGCCUACCAAGCCGACGAUCUGUAGCUGGUCUGAGAGGACGACCAGCCACACUGGGACUGAGACACGGCCCAGACUCCUACGGGAGGCAGCAGUGGGGAAUUUUGGACAAUGGGCGCAAGCCUGAUCCAGCAAUGCCGCGGGCGGGAAGAAGGCCUUCGGGUUGUAAACCGCUUUUGUACGGAACGAAAAGGCUCUGGCUAAUACCUGGGGCUGAUGACGGUACCGUAAGAAUAAGCACCGGCUAACUACGU
rnacentral:rRNA from 1 species